AUUGAACGCUGGCGGCAGGCCUAACACAUGCAAGUCGAACGGUAACAGGAUGAAGCUUGCUUCUUUGCUGACGAGUGGCGGACGGGCGAGUAAUGUCUGGGAAACUGCCUGAUGGAGGGGGAUAACUACUGGAAACGGUAGCUAAUACCGCAUAACGUCGCAAGACCAAAGAGGGGGACCUUCGGGCCUCUUGCCAUCGGAUGUGCCCAGAUGGGAUUAGCUAGUAGGUGGGGUAACGGCUCACCUAGGCGACGAUCCCUAGCUGGUCUGAGAGGAUGACCAGCCACACUGGAACUGAGACACGGUCCAGACUCCUACGGGAGGCAGCAGUGGGGAAUAUUGCACAAUGGGCGCAAGCCUGAUGCAGCCAUGCCGCGUGUAUGAAGAAGGCCUUCGGGUUGUAAAGUACUUUCAGCGGGGAGGAAGGGAGUAAAGUUAAUACCUUUGCUCAUUGACGUUACCCGCAGAAGAAGCACCGGCUAACUCCGUG
rnacentral:rRNA from 1 species